rnacentral:lncRNA from 10 species
UCUGGAAAGACUUUACGCCACUGCCCUCUUUUGCUGCCCUUUGAGUUGGCAACUGCAACUGAACUCCUCUGUUCUGAUAAAUUAUAUUGCCCCAGCUUCCUCAUUUUAUAUUGCUGACCAUGUAUCUUCUCCUGAAGACCAAAUACGAAGAAAUACACAAGGUGGUAGUAAUAAUUUUUAAUGGAAUUUGAGGAAAGCUAGAAUCUCUUUUAAUAUUGUACUGUUUUUGGCUGGAUGCCGUGGCUCAAGCCUGUAAUCCCAGCACUUCGGGA